rnacentral:rRNA from 1 species
AAAAGAAACUAACAGGAUUCCCUUAGUAACGGCGAGCGAAAAGGGAAGAGCCCAGCGCUGAAUCUAAUGUCCCUCGGGCAUUAAGACAUGUGGCGUUUGGGACGAAACAUUGCCUGUGCAGAAUGAUCAUCCAAGUCCCUCUUGAACGGGGCCAUUACCCAUGGAGGGUGCUAGGCCCGUAUGAUGAUUUUAUUGUGCAGUGCGUUUCGUCCGUAGAGUCGGGUUGCUUGGGAGUGCAGCCCAAAUCAGGUGGUAAACUCCAUCUAAGGCUAAAUAUGACCACGAGACCGAUAGCGAACAAGUACCGUGAGGGAAAGUUGAAAAGAACUUUGAAGAGAGAGUUCAAUAGUACGUGAAACCUCUCGGGGGUAAGCGGGCAGAACUUGCAAGUAUUGGUGAGGAGAUUCAGGCUUAGUGUCGGUGACUGAGGGUAUGAAUUAAGUUGUUUGUUCGCAAACUGACUGAUGUGUGCUCUUUGUUUUGCUGAUGAUGCGCCGCAUUUCUUUUCACCAUCCGGGUUGCAUGCAACUGAGUGGCAAUUUAGGUGCCGGGUGUCUGCGUGUCCUUGUGGCUCGAGCCCUGGUUUUCCAAUUGCUCAUGCGGUUGUUGAAAGCGAACAGGCGUUUGUCGCGGUCAAUGUUUUUCACGAGUAGGGUUUGUAUGGUAUAUGGACGGGUAACCGUAGUAUAUUGUACCGACUGAUUGUCAGUGAGAGAUAUUUUGGCUCUGUUCAGUAUUGCAAUCUAAAGCAUGCGUGGUCUGCCUGUCCCGUCUUGAAACACGGACCAAGGAGUCUAACAUGUGCGCGAGUCAUUGGGAAUGUAAACCCAAAGGCGGAAUGAAAGUAAAGAUUCGAUUGCGAAUUUGAGGAGAGAUCAUGGCUUUUGGCUGGUAUUCUGUAAAGUUUACUGGUGAAAGUAUGCGCAUCUCCUGGACGUCUAUACCUCUGAAGGUGGGGCGUACCUAGAGCGUACACGUUGGGACCCGAAAGAU